CUCCUUGAUACUGUAAAAAAACACAUUUAACUAACUGGCGGUAGUUCAGCUCUUUUAUUUAUCAAAAUACCCGCUUCAAGAACGACGAGGGACGACAUGUUUUGGAUAUUUGUCGCCGCUCUGAGCAGUUUUACGCUCACCUUCGGUGUAUACGCCGCGGCACCGAAAAUUCUCAACCUCCUCUCUCCGAACUACCGACGGCUGGACCCAAAGAAAGGAGUGCUCGCCGACAACACAUUCACGUCAGCAAUCAUCACUGCAAUCAUAGGCGUAUAGGUGUCUACCUGUAUUUCUUCGACCCAGAACUGUAUCCAAGUCGCCACAAUUAUGAUUGUCUACUACAACGUCAAGCAUCAGCGGCCCACCUGGCUUAUAACAUAGCCGAUGCGUUGAUGAUGAUCCGGCACAGGCAUCUCGCCACCAGGGUCUUAAUUCUGCACCAUGCUGUGGCAAUAACAUGUGGACCUAUUGCGAUUUUUUGGACAGACACACCAUGGGUCGGGGCGGCAUUUCUGGUGUUUGAAGCGUCCAGCCCUUUUGUGCACUUGAGGUCUCUGUUAAACAUUCUCGGCGAGAAGACGAACCGACUCUACACCGUCACUGGCCUGCUGAUGACUGCAGUCUUCUUCAUAUGUCGUGUAGCAACCAUUCCUACUUUCUGGUACUACGUGUACAUGUGGCACAAAGAUGGUGUUUUGCAAAAGAUUACCUGGCCCCUUGUCCACAUGGUAGCCUCUGCAAGGCUCGUUAUCGACAGUCUCAAUGUGUACUGGUUUUCAUUAAUGAUGAAGUACUUGUUCAAAAGGGUCAUAUUUGUCAAAGGUGAUGUGAAGAAAAAAGACGACGACUUCGCUCAAACAUAGUUUUGAUACAUCUUUCAGUCUGCCACGGUAAAUGAGAUGCUAAAAUGACGGGCUAGGUCUGUUUGAAUCUAUGGCUGACAUUGUAACUGCAGAUGAAAGAUAUUUUCCAAAACACCAACUUGAUGAUAUGUGAAACUUAUUGAUGGCGUGGAAUUUUGCACCUUGAUGUCUUACCUUAAAUGACUUUGAUAUGUUUCUAUUGCACGUUGUGUAAACAAGUUUAGUCUUCUACAACGUAUGUUAUAUUGUCUUAAUACCUAAGAAGAUACAUUACUCCAGCUGCAGUUUUCUUUCAACGUCAUUGAAAUUUCUCUACAAAUUAACCGAAUACAAAAGGAUACCUUAAUGUGAAAACAGUAGACAUGUAUUAAAAACUAUCUAACAUCAUG